ACAGUACUGAGAUCCAACUCCACCACCUGAGCGAGAGACCGACGGACCAUCAUUUACGUUGGAAGAACGCCGCUGUGGCUCCGUACUCUGGACACAUGUUGGCGAUGGUGGCUCGGUCGGCGAUGGACAGCUGAGCCACACCGGGGCCGAAGAACUCCACAAACUUCCCCACGACGCCGACCUGGCGGAGAUGCUGAGAGCACAGACGGAGAGGAAGAUGAUCACGUAUGACACACGCACGUCGACUCUGUGAGGUACGAGCUGCACGAAAAGCGACUGUUUUUACCUUGGUAACAGUGAGGACAAUGUCAGUGGAUGUAAUGAAUUUAUCUGGGGUCCCAUGCAGCUUGUAUCCCACCACCUCGGGCAGGACCAUGCUUAUUGGCUGACCCAGCAUCACCGCCUCUGCCUCUAUUCCACCCACACCUGAAGGUUUAAGGUUAAAUUGUCACAUUAAAAUAAAAUGUUAAAAAAUCAAA